rnacentral:piRNA from 1 species
UAGUAGAAAUCAAGGUAGCUGGACACCGUC